rnacentral:lncRNA from 1 species
UCUCAUUUCACACCCCACCCGGCCCGGUCAUAGACACAACUCCCCCUUGGACCAAAGCCGCCGCCGCCCUAUCGAUGCCCCAUCGCCGCCCCGUUGCCGCCCCUCGCCGGCACCAAGGCUAGGUCCACUACUACUCCAUUCGCGGACACGCCACACGACCGUGAUCCAUUAGGAUUUGAUUUGUGUCAUGUAGAUUCCAAAGUUAUUUGCAUGGAUUGCUUUGUGUAGAAAUUGUAGUGAUAAUCGUCAGAUUGCUAUUGUGUAGAAUUUGAUAUUUAUAAUGCAUUUUUAAUUGUGUGUCUCCCUCCCUUGGUGGAUCUGAGCUAGUUUAGUAGAAAUUGAUAUAUUUAGUCGAAAUGGAUAGAAUGUGUUAUAUGUAGAAUUUAUUUACUUGUGUGUCUUCCUCCCUUGGCGGAUCUGAGCUAGUUUAGUAGAAAUUGAUAAAUUUAGUAGAAUUGGAUAGAAUGUGUUAUGUGUAGAAUUUAUUUACUUGUGUGUCUCCCCUUCAUUGGCGGAUCUGAGCUAGUUUAGUAGGAAUUGAUAUAUAUAUAUAUAUAUAUUGCAAAUGGAUAGAAUGUGUUAUGUUUAAAAAUCAGGGCAAUUUGAUGUUGUAGGUCACCACAUGCUAUCUAGUUUAAUUAGUUCUAUACAUUGCAAUAUUUGAACUACUUUACAUUGGAGUCAAUAUUCAGUGAUACGAAUUUGCAUAUUAUCUUGAUCGUAUACAUGUGUUUGUAGGUCAAGGCCAAUUCUGGAGGCAGCAACGAGUUGGUGUGUGAUGUGGGCAUGGCCAACAAUGAAUUCUUAGACACUUUUGAGUAUGUCAUCAAGAGUGUGAAAGGGGAAAAUGAUGAUCUAAAGGGGAAGAUUAAAUACCCACACAAGGAUACUAUUCGGCCCGUUCAAGAGACAAAUCAGCUUAGGGACGGGAGGGAUAAGCUCGUCGAGGAUCAGGACAAACAGAAGGAGGAGAGGAGAUGCCUCACGGCUGAGAGGAUUGACCUGAAGAUGGACACAGAUCAUUUUAGAAAAGAAGGAGAGGGGGAUAGAAAGAAGCUUCUCCAGCUGGGCAUACUCCUUGAUGAAGAUUAGUUUUUAUGUAGCUAGCUAGUUCAUCUUAUUAGUUGAUGAUGAUCGAGUAACUAGAGUACCUGAGUGAACUUUUGUGAAGUUUAAUAUCGGCUUGUUGAGUUCAUGAGCCUCUUAUGUAAUGAUUAUCUAUUAAGUACAUUGUGUUGAUGUGUAUAUUGUGUUCAGUGGUAUAUAUUAAGUAAGUAGCUAGUGUUGAUGAGUAAUUUUUUUAUUACAAAAAAAACCAUUUGCUGGCGUUGGACAAGUAGGCACGCCAGAGUUAUGAUGAACUUAGUGAUGGCGCUGGACUGGUGAUACGCCAGCACAAUGUAG